rnacentral:rRNA from 1 species
GACGAACGCUGGCGGCGUGCUUAACACAUGCAAGUCGAACGGAGUGGCGAACGGGUGAGUAACACGUGGGUAACCUGCCCUGCACUUCGGGAUAGGCCGGGGAAACUGGGUCUCAUACCGGAUAGUGUGGGAUGGGCCCGCGGCCUAUCAGCUUGUUGGUGGGGUAAUGGCCUACCAAGGCGGCGACGGGUAGCCGGCCUGAGAGGGUGGACGGCCACAUUGGGCCUGAGACACGGGCCAGACUCAUACGGGGGGCAGCAGUGGGGAAUAGUGCACAAUGGGCGGAAGCCUGAUGCAGCGACGCCGGGUUGGGGAUGACGGCUUUCGGGUUGUAAACGCCUUUCACCAUCGACGCGGUAGAUGGAGAAGAAGCACCGGCUAACUACGUGCCAGCAGCCGCGGUAAUUC